AUGUGGGUCUACCUGUAGAGCUACUUACAGUUUGCAGCAAAUUUCACAUGAAAUAAAUAAAUAAAUAAAUAAAUAAAUGAUACGUUCAUGUAAAUAGCAGCCCCGGUGCUGUAUCUGUCAGCGUGCCAGAUGCCGUCAGGAAAGCGUUGGUGUGUUCUUGUAACUUACACCGGGAAAGCCGCGGUUGUUAUUAAUCUCAGGUCUGCUGCGAGCUGCCGCUUUCGCGAAACAAUGUACAACUUCAUUCAAGCGUGGUGUCGUCGUCGUCCGCCUGGCACUCGAGGCUGCUGUGUGAGGGAAGGUUUUGUAGGCUCAACGUUUAUGGAGCUCAUCACUGCAGUCAUUGUGCAAGUUUGCUCUCCUACACCUGUGAAGAGGUGCUUACAUUCACUGGAGCAUUUGGGAAUGGAAGUCUCCCAGCCUCAGUUAUGUGGUAGCAGUAACACAUGUUUUUCCUCUCUGUGGUGUGCCUCACUUCCCAUUACUUCACCUACAGACGGAAAUGGCUGCACAUGCUUUUUGAAACGGAUGCAAAAUACUAGGGAGUCAUUACUUGUAUGCCUUUUGCACACUAUGUUGUUAAGUGCUACCGAUCACCACCAGCACAGAAGGAAACAGAAUUGGGGCCUCUGCGUUUUUUAAUACCGAAUGCUGGCUUCCUCGCGCAUGAAUUCUGCAGUGUAGCACUUAAUUGUCAGACACACCGCAUGCAAAUGGCCUCACUCGAUGCAGCUAAGCAGUUAGGGCAGUGUUACAUUAGCUUGGUAUCCUCCCAAAACAAUAAAAAGAGCCCAAGGAGAUGUAAAUAAUGUUGU
rnacentral:lncRNA from 1 species